rnacentral:rRNA from 1 species
UCCGUAGGCGGUGCGGCAAGUCGGAAGUGAAAUCUCAGGGCUUAACCCUGAGGCUGCUUCCGAAACUGCCGUGCUCGAGUGCGAGAGAGGCGAGUGGAAUUGCAGGUGUAGCGGUGAAAUGCGUAGAUAUCUGCAGGAACAUCCGAGGCGAAAGCGGCUCGCUGGAUCGCAACUGACGCUGAGGGACGAAAGCUAGGGGAGCAAACAGGGUUAGAUACCCUGGUAGUCCUAGCCCUAAACGAUCAGGACUGGGCGUGGGCCUCGUACGGGGCUCGUGCCGCAGCUAACGCGUUAAGUCCUGCGCCUGGGGAGUACGGUCGCAAGGCUGAA